rnacentral:rRNA from 1 species
UAAUACGGAGGGUGCAAGCGUUAUUCGGAAUUAUUGGGCGUAAAGAGCGCGUAGGCGGUUUAUUAAGUCAGCUGUGAAAGCCCGGGGCUUAACCCCGGAAGUGCAGUUGAAACUAGUAAACUUGAGUAUGGGAGAGGGAAGUGGAAUUCCUGGUGUAGCGGUGAAAUGCGUAGAUAUCAGGAAGAACACCGGUGGCGAAGGCGACUUCCUGGACCAAUACUGACGCUGAGGCGCGAAGGCGUGGGGAGCAAACAGGAUUAGAUACCCUGGUAGUCCACGCAGUAAACGUUGAACACUAGGUGUAGCGGGUAUUUACCCCUGCUGUGCCGAAGCUAACGCAUUAAGUGUUCCGCCUGGGGAGUACGACCGCAAGGUUAAAACUCAAAGGAAUUGACGG